GCCUGGCUAGCUCAAUCGGUAGAGCGUGAGACUCUUACGCUUACGUAAUCGUGAUCUCAAGGUUGCGGGUUCGACCCCCGCGUUAGGCU